rnacentral:rRNA from 1 species
UACGUAGGGCGCAAGCGUUGUCCGGAAUUAUUGGGCGUAAAGAGCUCGUAGGCGGUGUGUCACGUCGGCCGUGAAAACCUGCAGCUUAACUGUGGGCGUGCGGUCGAUACGGGCAUCACUGGAGUUCGGCAGGGGAGACUGGAAUUCCUGGUGUAGCGGUGAAAUGCGCAGAUAUCAAGAGGAACACCGGUGGCGAAGGCGGGUCUCUGGGCCGAUACUGACGCUGAGGAGCGAAAGCGUGGGGAGCAAACAGG